GACGAGGUCACCGCGGCGAUACUCCAGAACGAGGUUCUCAGGAGGAAGAACCCAGCUUCGAGCUCAGGUGGCGAUAGCUCAGCUUUGAUGGCUUCUGGAGGUGUAUGAGGCGGUAGACGGAGCGACAGGAGAUCGCAACGAGGGCUGUCGAAGUCCAGGAGGGACUUGAGCAAAACCAGGUGUUACCGGUGUGAAGAGUUGGGGCAUCUAGGCAGAGAUUGCCCUCAACUGAAAAAUCGGACGGUGGCUGCUGUAGCGACGGCCGACAGUGAUUUAGAUGGAGAUGUCUUUGAGAUAUCUGACGAGGUAUCUACUUCUUCCCAGCAGUGGAUAUUAGAUUCUGCAUGCCCCUAUCAUAUGUGUUGCAGAGAGGAGCAGUUUGACUCCCUGGAGAACAGUGAGGGCACUGUAUAUCUGCCGGAUGGAUCGAGCUGUGCGAUCAGAGGCAUUGGGACGGUCAGCUGGAGGACACAUGAUAGUGNNN
rnacentral:lncRNA from 1 species